GACGAACGCUGGCGGCGUGCUUAACACAUGCAAUUCGAACGGAAAGGCCCUGCUUUUGUGGGGUGCUCGAGUGGCGAACGGGUGAGUAACACGUGAGUAACCUGCCCUUGACUUUGGGAUAACUUCAGGAAACUGGGGCUAAUACCGGAUAGGAGCUCCUGCUUCAUGGUGGGGGUUGGAAAGUUUCGGCGGUUGGGGAUGGACUCGCGGCUUAUCAGCUUGUUGGUGGGGUAGUGGCUUACCAAGGCUUUGACGGGUAGCCGGCCUGAGAGGGUGACCGGCCACAUUGGGACUGAGAUACGGCCCAGACUCCUACGGGAGGCAGCAGUGGGGAAUAUUGCACAAUGGGCGGAAGCCUGAUGCAGCAACGCCGCGUGCGGGAUGACGGCCUUCGGGUUGUAAACCGCUUUCGCCUGUGACGAAGCGUGAGUGAAGGUAAUGGGUAAAGAAGCACCGGCUAACUACGUG
rnacentral:rRNA from 1 species